rnacentral:rRNA from 1 species
UACGAAGGGGGCUAGCGUUACUCGGAUUGACUGGGCGUAAAGGGCGCGUAGGCGGAUGGUACAGUCAGACGUGAAAUUCCUGGGCUCAACCUGGGGGCUGCGUUUGAUACGUGCUGUCUGGAGUUCGGAAGAGGGUCGUGGAAUUCCCAGUGUAGAGGUGAAAUUCGUAGAUAUUCGGAAGAACACCAGUGGCGAAGGCGACUUACUGGACACAUAUUGACGCUGAGGUGCGAAAGCGUGGGGAGCAAACAGG